AGUGGCGAACGGGUGAGUAACACGUGAGUAACCUGCCCUUGACUUUGGGAUAACUUCAGGAAACUGGGGCUAAUACCGGAUAGGAGCUCUGCUGCAUGGUGGGGGUUGGAAAGUUUCGGCGGUUGGGGAUGGACUCGCGGCUUAUCAGCUUGUUGGUGGGGUAGUGGCUUACCAAGGCUUUGACGGGUAGCCGGCCUGAGAGGGUGACCGGCCACAUUGGGACUGAGAUACGGCCCAGACUCCUACGGGAGGCAGCAGUGGGGAAUAUUGCACAAUGGGCGGAAGCCUGAUGCAGCAACGCCGCGUGCGGGAUGACGGCCUUCGGGUUGUAAACCGCUUUCGCCUGUGACGAAGCGUGAGUGACGGUAAUGGGUAAAGAAGCACCGGCUAACUACGUGCCAGCAGCCGCGGUGAUACGUAGGGUGCGAGCGUUGUCCGGAUUUAUUGGGCGUAAAGGGCUCGUAGGUGGUUGAUCGCGUCGGAAGUGUAAUCUUGGGGCUUAACCCUGAGCGUGCUUUCGAUACGGGUUGACUUGAGGAAGGUAGGGGAGAAUGGAAUUCCUGGUGGAGCGGUGGAAUGCGCAGAUAUCAGGAGGAACACCAGUGGCGAAGGCGGUUCUCUGGGCCUUUCCUGACGCUGAGGAGCGAAAGCGUGGGGAGCGAACAGGCUUAGAUACCCUGGUAGUCCACGCUGUAAACGGUGGGUACUAGGUGUGGGGUCCAUUCCACGGGUUCCGUGCCGUAGCUAAC
rnacentral:rRNA from 1 species